AAAGGUAGAAUUUAAUUGUUAUUUUAUAUAAUAUUAAAUUUAAAUUGAAACUAUAAAGUCUAAUUAUAAACUAGGAUUAGAUACCCUAUUAUUUUAGAAAGAAAAAAUAAAAACUAAACUAUUAUUAGUUAUAUACUUUAAAAUUAAAAAAUUUGGCGGUGAUUUAAUCUUUUCAGAGGAAUUUGUUUUUUAAUCGAUAAUCCACGAAAAAUCUUACUUGAGUUUGUAUACCAUCAUUAUCAGAUAAUUCUAAAAAGAAAAAUUAUCAAAUAUAGUUAAUUAUUGAAAUUAGAUCAUGGUGCAGCUUAUAGACAAGUUAAAAUGAAUUACAAUAAAUUGUUUUAAAUGAAUUGAUAAUUAUGAAGGAGGAUUUGAUAGUAUAUAAUUUUAAUAAGUUUAUAAGACAAUGGCUCUAAAUCAUGUACAUAUCGCCCGUCGCUUUC
rnacentral:rRNA from 1 species